rnacentral:rRNA from 1 species
UUAAGCGACUAAGCGUACACGGUGGAUGCCCUGGCAGUCAGAGGCGAUGAAGGACGUGCUAAUCUGCGAUAAGCGUCGGUAAGGUGAUAUGAACCGUUAUAACCGGCGAUUUCCGAAUGGGGAAACCCAGUGUGAUUCGUCACACUAUCAUUAACUGAAUCCAUAGGUUAAUGAGGCGAACCGGGGGAACUGAAACAUCUAAGUACCCCGAGGAAAAGAAAUCAACCGAGAUUCCCCCAGUAGCGGCGAGCGAACGGGGAGCAGCCCAGAGCCUGAAUCAGUGUGUGUGUUAGUGGAAGCGUCUGGAAAGGCGCGCGAUACAGGGUGACAGCCCCGUACACAAAAAUGCACAUGCUGUGAGCUCGAUGAGUAGGGCGGGACACGUGGUAUCCUGUCUGAAUAUGGGGGGACCAUCCUCCAAGGCUAAAUACUCCUGACUGACCGAUAGUGAACCAGUACCGUGAGGGAAAGGCGAAAAGAACCCCGGCGAGGGGAGUGAAAAAGAACCUGAAACCGUGUACGUACAAGCAGUGGGAGCACGCUUAGGCGUGUGACUGCGUACCUUUUGUAUAAUGGGUCAGCGACUUAUAUUCUGUAGCAAGGUUAACCGAAUAGGGGAGCCGAAGGGAAACCGAGUCUUAACUGGGCGUUAAGUUGCAGGGUAUAGACCCGAAACCCGGUGAUCUAGCCAUGGGCAGGUUGAAGGUUGGGUAACACUAACUGGAGGACCGAACCGACUAAUGUUGAAAAAUUAGCGGAUGACUUGUGGCUGGGGGUGAAAGGCCAAUCAAACCGGGAGAUAGCUGGUUCUCCCCGAAAGCUAUUUAGGUAGCGCCUCGUGAAUUCAUCUCCGGGGGUAGAGCACUGUUUCGGCAAGGGGGUCAUCCCGACUUACCAACCCGAUGCAAACUGCGAAUACCGGAGAAUGUUAUCACGGGAGACACACGGCGGGUGCUAACGUCCGUCGUGAAGAGGGAAACAACCCAGACCGCCAGCUAAGGUCCCAAAGUCAUGGUUAAGUGGGAAACGAUGUGGGAAGGCCCAGACAGCCAGGAUGUUGGCUUAGAAGCAGCCAUCAUUUAAAGAAAGCGUAAUAGCUCACUGGUCGAGUCGGCCUGCGCGGAAGAUGUAACGGGGCUAAACCAUGCACCGAAGCUGCGGCAGCGACACUAUGUGUUGUUGGGUAGGGGAGCGUUCUGUAAGCCUGCGAAGGUGUGCUGUGAGGCAUGCUGGAGGUAUCAGAAGUGCGAAUGCUGACAUAAGUAACGAUAAAGCGGGUGAAAAGCCCGCUCGCCGGAAGACCAAGGGUUCCUGUCCAACGUUAAUCGGGGCAGGGUGAGUCGACCCCUAAGGCGAGGCCGAAAGGCGUAGUCGAUGGGAAACAGGUUAAUAUUCCUGUACUUGGUGUUACUGCGAAGGGGGGACGGAGAAGGCUAUGUUGGCCGGGCGACGGUUGUCCCGGUUUAAGCGUGUAGGCUGGUUUUCCAGGCAAAUCCGGAAAAUCAAGGCUGAGGCGUGAUGACGAGGCACUACGGUGCUGAAGCAACAAAUGCCCUGCUUCCAGGAAAAGCCUCUAAGCAUCAGGUAACAUCAAAUCGUACCCCAAACCGACACAGGUGGUCAGGUAGAGAAUACCAAGGCGCUUGAGAGAACUCGGGUGAAGGAACUAGGCAAAAUGGUGCCGUAACUUCGGGAGAAGGCACGCUGAUAUGUAGGUGAAGUCCCUCGCGGAUGGAGCUGAAAUCAGUCGAAGAUACCAGCUGGCUGCAACUGUUUAUUAAAAACACAGCACUGUGCAAACACGAAAGUGGACGUAUACGGUGUGACGCCUGCCCGGUGCCGGAAGGUUAAUUGAUGGGGUUAGCGCAAGCGAAGCUCUUGAUCGAAGCCCCGGUAAACGGCGGCCGUAACUAUAACGGUCCUAAGGUAGCGAAAUUCCUUGUCGGGUAAGUUCCGACCUGCACGAAUGGCGUAAUGAUGGCCAGGCUGUCUCCACCCGAGACUCAGUGAAAUUGAACUCGCUGUGAAGAUGCAGUGUACCCGCGGCAAGACGGAAAGACCCCGUGAACCUUUACUAUAGCUUGACACUGAACAUUGAGCCUUGAUGUGUAGGAUAGGUGGGAGGCUUUGAAGUGUGGACGCCAGUCUGCAUGGAGCCGACCUUGAAAUACCACCCUUUAAUGUUUGAUGUUCUAACGUGGACCCGUAAUCCGGGUUGCGGACAGUGUCUGGUGGGUAGUUUGACUGGGGCGGUCUCCUCCUAAAGAGUAACGGAGGAGCACGAAGGUUGGCUAAUCCUGGUCGGACAUCAGGAGGUUAGUGCAAUGGCAUAAGCCAGCUUGACUGCGAGCGUGACGGCGCGAGCAGGUGCGAAAGCAGGUCAUAGUGAUCCGGUGGUUCUGAAUGGAAGGGCCAUCGCUCAACGGAUAAAAGGUACUCCGGGGAUAACAGGCUGAUACCGCCCAAGAGUUCAUAUCGACGGCGGUGUUUGGCACCUCGAUGUCGGCUCAUCACAUCCUGGGGCUGAAGUAGGUCCCAAGGGUAUGGCUGUUCGCCAUUUAAAGUGGUACGCGAGCUGGGUUUAGAACGUCGUGAGACAGUUCGGUCCCUAUCUGCCGUGGGCGCUGGAGAACUGAGGGGGGCUGCUCCUAGUACGAGAGGACCGGAGUGGACGCAUCACUGGUGUUCGGGUUGUCAUGCCAAUGGCACUGCCCGGUAGCUAAAUGCGGAAGAGAUAAGUGCUGAAAGCAUCUAAGCACGAAACUUGCCCCGAGAUGAGUUCUCCCUGACCCUUUAAGGGUCCUGAAGGAACGUUGAAGACGACGACGUUGAUAGGCCGGGUGUGUAAGCGCAGCGAUGCGUUGAGCUAACCGGUACUAAUGAACCGUGAGGCUUAACCUU